rnacentral:rRNA from 1 species
UACGUAGGGACCUAGCGUUGUCCGGAAUUAUUGGGCGUAAAGAGCUCGUAGGCGGCUUGUCACGUCGGGUGUGAAAGUCCAGGGCUCAACCCUGGGAUGCCGGUCGAUACUGCCGGACUAGAGUUCGGAAGAGGCGAGUGGAAUUCCCGGUGUAGCGGUGAAAUGCGUAGAUAUCAGGAGGAACACCCGUGGUGCAGACGGCUUGCUGGACCGUGACUGACGCUGAGGCACGAAAGCGUGGGUAGCAAACAGG